UAAAGAUGAAAAAUGAUUAUUAUGUGAAUAAAUAAACGAUCAAUUGUUUGAUAAAUAUUUUCAACUGAUUUAAUAAACGGUGUUUUAAUAAAUCUGAUAAUCCGAAAAUUUACUAAGUUAAUAAAAUAGGCAGAUAUGAAUAAAAUAUCAUUAAUUAUAAUUCCCAACCAACGCAUCACUUCACAGUUUUAAUCUACUCGGUGUUCUUCAAUCUGCCGCACUGAAACUCCUACUCUGCCUAAUUAUUCCCACCAUUUUCUCCACUCCUCAUUAUUAUAAGUCUAUCGAUGCAAUGAGUAAUUAGUGGGCAGCUUGUCAUUGCACUCAUGAAUAGAAUAAACUCUAUAAUAUAAUCAUUAGUUUCCAUUAUUAGUUUAUUAACCACAUUAUAUAGUCGAACACUUAGUGGACAGCUUGUCAUUGCACUCAUGAAUAGAAUAAACUCUAUAAUAUAAUCAUUAGUUUCCAUUAUUAGUUUAUUAACCACAUUAUAUAGUCGAGCACCUUCCCUCUGCAGACGCACUUCUCCUUCUUUUUCAUUAUGCCUGCUCCUUUUCUUGUUAUCCCUUCUUUCCAGCACAUUAUGUUUAAUGAUAUUAUAUUUAUAAGUGGCCGACUAUCAUAAUUGGAACACUAUUUCCAGCACCUUCCUUCUCUUCCUUCAUUAUUUUAUAACCCCACUUUAGUUCCUUAAGUUUCUUCUUCUCUGCCUUCUUCUUCACGGUGGCACAGUGAAAGUCAGAGCAAUGAGAGCGUGAGAUGUGAGAAGAGAGAAACUAAUCGAGAGAGAGAGAGAGAAGUUGUCUGAGAGUGAGACUGAAACGGAGAGAAAGGCAGCACCUGAGAGAUGGGAAGAGAGAGAUCCGGGUGGCCCGUGAAGGUGAAACCCGGAGAUACCGUAGCAGAACCUGUGACCCGUGACCCAGCCGAACCGUAGCAGAUCGAUCCAAACUCGGCCGGGUUCCGGCCGAUUGUAGCAGACCCGAGAGUAGAGAGACCGUGAGAUGUCGAGGGAGAUCGGGAAGUUGAGGAGUGCCCGGACCCGAUCCUCCGGUGGGUGGCGCCGACGAGGCCAGAAGACACCGACGACACGACCUCCGGCGAGCCCGUGAGAACCCAUAGCCCAGAUCCCAGCUACUGGUCAAAACCCAUCUCAGACCCGGCGAGAUCUAACCCGCAAACCCAGUAACCGUGCGUGAAAUCAUGACCCGAACCGUGAGACCACAGAGGCCCAAAACCCGUAGCCCAGACCUGCAGACCCAUGGGCUGACUUCAGCCCAGGCCCGCUGAGCCCAAACCCGGCAGUGAUCCCCAACCCAUGACCCGAACCCGGAAACCUGACCCACCGGCGACCCGUCUCCGGUAGACACUCCGGCGACUUUUCCGGCGACUUUCCGGCGACCGAACUCACUAUUUUCACUGGAUUUUCUAGUAAAAAUCCUUAAUAUGAUGAACUGAGAAACUGUACAAAAAGACUCCCAUGUUGCAGGUACGAAAGUGUAUAAAGCUCAAGGAUAGGAGUUUGUUAACAUUACAGGAAUUAGAACUGUUCGAUAAUGUAGUUGAUGAUUGUAGUGAAUUCUUGUAUCAAUUUGAAAUGUAAUACUUUAAUUACGUUUAUCACUCAAUAAAGCUUUGAUGUGUUAUUUAA